rnacentral:rRNA from 1 species
GACGAACGCUGGCGGCGUGCCUAAUACAUGCAAGUUGAGCGAUGAAGAUUGGUGCUUGCACCAAUUUGAAGAGCAGCGAACGGGUGAGUAACGCGUGGGGAAUCUGCCUUUGAGCGGGGGACAACAUUUGGAAACGAAUGCUAAUACCGCAUAAUAACUUUAAACAUAAGUUUUAAGUUUGAAAGAUGCAAUUGCAUCACUCAAAGAUGAUCCCGCGUUGUAUUAGCUAGUUGGUGAGGUAAAGGCUCACCAAGGCGAUGAUACAUAGCCAACCUGAGAGGGUGAUCGGCCACAUUGGGACUGAGACACGGCCCAAACUCCUACGGGAGGCAGCAGUAGGGAAUCUUCGGCAAUGGACGAAGGUCUGACCGAGCAACGCCGCGUGAGUGAAGAAGGUUUUCGGAUCGUAAAACUCUGUUGGUAGAGAAGAACGUUGGUGAGAGUGGAAAGCUCAUCAAGUGACGGUAACUACCCAGAAAGGGACGGCUAACUACGUG